GCUGGCGGCGUGCUUAACACAUGCAAGUCGAACGUGAUUAGAGAGCUUGCUCUCUAUGAAAGUGGCGCACGGGUGAGUAACGCGUGGAUAACCUGCCCUGGUAUCUGGGAUAACACUUCGAAAGGGGUGCUAAUACCGGAUAAGCCCACGGGCUCUUCGGAGCUUGCGGGAAAAGGUGGCCUCUACUUAUAAGCUACUGUAUCAGGAUGGGUCCGCGUACCAUUAGCUAGUUGGUGGUGUAAUGGACCACCAAGGCGACGAUGGUUAGCUGGUCUGAGAGGAUGAUCAGCCACACUGGAACUGAGACACGGUCCAGACUCCUACGGGAGGCAGCAGUGGGGAAUUUUGCGCAAUGGGGGAAACCCUGACGCAGCAACGCCGCGUGAGUGAUGAAGGCCUUCGGGUCGUAAAGCUCUGUCAGUGGGGAAGAAAUGGAACGUGCUAAUACCACGUUUUCUUGACGGUACCCACAAAGGAAGCACCGGCUAACUCCGUGCCAGCAGCCGCGGUAAUACGGAGGGUGCAAGCGUUGUUCGGAUUUAUUGGGCGUAAAGCGCGUGUAGGCGGUUUCUUAAGUCUGAUGUGAAAGCCCCGGGCUCAACCCGGGAAGUGCAUUGGAUACUGGGGGACUUGAAUACGGGAGAGGGUAGUGGAAUUCCUAGUGUAGGAGUGAAAUCCGUAGAUAUUAGGAGGAACACCGGUGGCGAAGGCGGCUACCUGGAC
rnacentral:rRNA from 1 species